rnacentral:rRNA from 1 species
CGGCGAAGUGAAGCGGCAACAGCUCAAAUUUGAAAUCUGGCCCCUAGGGUCCGAAGUUGUAAUUUGUAGAGGAUGCUUUUGGUGAGGUGCCGCCCGAGUUCCCUGGAACGGGACGCCACAGAGGGUGAGAGCCCCGUCUGGCUGGCCACCGAGCCUCUGUAAAGCUCCUUCGACGAGUCGAGUAGUUUGGGAAUGCUGCUCAAAAUGGGAGGUAUAUGUCUUCUAAAGCUAAAUAUUGGCCAGAGACCGAUAGCGCACAAGUAGAGUGAUCGAAAGAUGAAAAGCACCUUGAAAAGAGGGUUAAACAGUACGUGAAAUUGUUGAAAGGGAAGCGCUUGUGACCAGACUUGGGCGCGGCGAAUCAUCCGGGGUUCUCUCCGGUGCACUUCGCCGUGUUCAGGCCAGCAUCAGUUCGGCGCGGGGGAAAAAGGCUUCGGGAACGUGGCUGCUCCGGCAGUGUUAUAGCCCGUUGCAUAAUACCCUGCGCUGGACUGAGGACCGCGCAUCUGCAAGGAUGCUGGCGUAAUGGUCACCAGCGAC